rnacentral:lncRNA from 1 species
UGUAUGAGCUUUCGUAACGUUCGGUUGUGUGACAGUUCAGUGUGGAAGUGAUAAUUCAAAAAAAACGCAGGCGACAAAAACAAAAUAGGAACUACAUAAUAGAGCUACAGAAAAACAAGAAGAAGGACAAGGACCACAUAGGACCAAAAAAAAAAAAAAUAGAUCUGAAGUUGACAGGACACCUGGUUGUGCAUUGCCUUGAGCAA